UACGAAGGGGGCAAGCGUUGUUCGGAAUUACGGGGCGUAAAGGGCGCGUAGGCGGUGCACUAAGUCAGGCGUGAAAGCCCUGGGCUCAACCCGGGAAUUGCGCUUGAUACUGGUGCGCUUGAAUCCAGGAGAGGUUGGUGGAAUUCCCAGUGUAGAGGUGAAAUUCGUAGAGAUUGGGAAGAACACCGGUGGCGAAGGCGGCCAGCUGGGCCAGGUCCGACACUGAGGCGCGAAAGCGUGGGGAGCAAACAGG
rnacentral:rRNA from 1 species